GUUCGGUCUGCAUUACUCGACUUAGUCAAAACCCUCUUUUUUGUUUUUAUUUUAGCCAUUAUUUUUGUCCUUUUUAGUUUUUUUAUAGAAGACAGCUCAAUUUAUUUUAGAACCACAGAUAUUAUAGAAGGUGAUCACCCUCAUCAUGAAGGAAGUUACGAUCUUUUAAGAUGUGGAGCUAGUUAGAUACACGACAAUCAUGAGAACAAUUGCAAGUCAGUGCGCUUUAGUGUUGCGUUUGCGAGGUACGAAGAAGAAGCUGACACACGGGUUGGUAGAGAGUUUC
rnacentral:lncRNA from 1 species